rnacentral:rRNA from 1 species
CCUACGGGAGGCUGCAGUGAGGAAUAUUGGUCAAUGGGCUUACGCCUGAACCAGCCAAGUCGCGUGAGGGAAGACUGCCCUAUGGGUUGUAAACCUCUUUUGUCAGGGAGCAACGCCGGCUACGUGUAGCCGGACUGAGAGUACCUGAAGAAAAAGCAUCGGCUAACUCCGUGCCAGCAGCCGCGGUAAUACGGAGGAUGCGAGCGUUAUCCGGAUUUAUUGGGUUUAAAGGGUGCGUAGGCGGAAUGCCAAGUCAGCGGUAAAAUCGCGGGGCUCAACCUCGCUCCGCCGUUGAAACUGGCGUUGUUGAGUGGGCGAGAAGUAUGCGGAAUGCGUGGUGUAGCGGUGAAAUGCAUAGAUAUCACGAAGAACUCCGAUUGCGAAGGCAGUUCACGGGACUGCAACUGACACUGAGGCUCGAAAGUGUGGGUAUCAAACAGGAUUAGAUACCCUUGUAGUC